AGUGGCAGACGGGUGAGUAACACGUAGGUAACCUGCCCUCGAGACGGGGAUAACGGCUGGAAACGGUCGCUAAGACCCGAUAUAGUCUGACCUUCGGGAGAAGGUGAGAGGAAAGGCUUCGGUGCUCGGGGAGGGGCCUGCGGCCCAUCAGCUAGUUGGAGAGGUAACGGCUCCCCAAGGCAAUGACGGGUAGGGGGUGUGAGAGCAUGGCCCCCCACACUGGGACUGAGACACGGCCCAGACUCCUACGGGAGGCAGCAGCAGGGAAUAUUGCGCAAUGGACGGAAGUCUGACGCAGCGACGCCGCGUGGAUGACGAAGGCCUUCGGGUUGUAAAAUCCUUUUCCGGGCGAUGAGGAAGGACACUAGCCUGGGAAUAAGCGUCGGCUAACUACGUGCCAGCAGCCGCGGUAAGACGUAGGACGCGAGCGUUAUCCGGAUUUACUGGGCGUAAAGCGCCUGCAGGCGGUCAGGUAAGUCGGUUGUGAAAGCCCCGUGCUCAAACGCGGGGAGGCCAAGCGAUACUGCGUGACUUGAGGGCGGAAGAGGGGAGUGGAAUUCCCGGUGUAGCGGUAAAAUGCGCAGAUAUCGGGAGGAACACCAGUGGCGAAGGCGGCUCCCUGGACCGCACCUGACGCUCAGAGGCGAAAGCUAGGGGAGCGAACAGGAUUAGAGACCCUGGUAGUCCUAGCCCUAAACGCUGGAUGCUAGGUGUAGGGCUGAUGAGGCUCUGUGCCGGAGCGAACGCGAUAAGCAUCCCGCCUGGGAACUACGGCCGCAAGGCUAAAACUCAAACGAAUUGACGGGGACCCGCACAAGCAGCGGAGCGUGUGGUUUAAUUCGAUGCUACACGAAGAACCUUACCUGGGUUUGACAUGUUGGUGGUACCGAACCGAAAGGGGAGGGACCCUUCGGGGAGCCAACACAGGUGCUGCAUGGCUGUCGUCAGCUCGUGCCGUGAGGUGUCGGGUUAAGUCCCGUAACGAGCGCAACCCUUGCUCUUAGUUAUACGUGUCUAAGGGGACUGCCGGCGACAAGCCGGAGGAAGGUGGGGAUGACGUCAAGUCAGCAUGGCCUUGAUAUCCAGGGCUACACACACGCUACAAUGGCCGGUACAAAGGGCAGCCAAGCCGCGAGGUGGAGCGAAUCCCAGCAAAGCCGGUCCCAGUUCGGAUUGCAGGCUGCAACCCGCCUGCAUGAAGUUGGAGUUGCUAGUAACCGCGCGUCAGCCAUAGUGCGGUGAAUACGUACCCGGGUCUUGUACACACCGCCCGUCACGUCAUGGGAGUUGGCAACGCCUGA
rnacentral:rRNA from 1 species